rnacentral:rRNA from 1 species
GACGAACGCUGGCGGCGUGCUUAACCCAUGCAAGUCGAACGGUUAAGCGCCUUCCUUUUUGGUGGGUGUGGAUGAGUGGCGAACGGGUGAGUAACACGUGAGUAACCUGCCCCCUUCUUCUGGAUAACCUCAUGAAAGUGUGUCUAAUACGGGAUAUUCUGGGUCUUUCUCAUGAUGGGUCUGGUAAAGAUAUUGUUUCGGUGGGGGAUGGGCUCGCGGCCUAUCAGCUUGUUGGUGGGGUGAUGGCCUACCAAGGCGGUGACGGGUAGCCGGCCUGAGAGGGGGGACGGUCAGAAUGGGACUGAGAAAAGGCCGAGACGGCGACGGGAGGCAGAAGUGGGGAAGAGUGAACAAGGGGAGAAAGCCGGAUGCAGAGACGACGCGUGAGGGAUGGAGGCCGUCGGGUGGGGAACGGCGUUGGGCAGUGAAGCAGGCCGGCCGCGGUUGUGGGGGGGUUGACGGUAGCGGGAUAAGAAGCGACGGAUAAAUACGUG